rnacentral:misc_RNA from 1 species
GAUUGGUUCUCUGAGAGAGGGGCGUUAAUCUCGGUGCUGCAAAAUCCUAAUCCAUUGUGUUGCUUCAUUUGCAGGUACAUUCCCUAAUUAGUUGAAUAUUUCCUACCAAAGCAAGGUUACCUUUUAAUUUUUGAAAAUGUUCGGGCUUAAGAAGUCGCCCUUGCAUAGGAAUGCUAGGAAUCACUCUGUGAAUCCUGGAUCCGGUGGUUAUUCAAGUUCAAAUCCUUUUGAUUCUGACAAUGAAUCAGACAACAAGGAAACUAUAAAACCUGCUCGGA